rnacentral:antisense_RNA from 1 species
CUUCAGCGAGCCCAGCCACAACGGCCGGUCCGCGGACUUCUCCCGGCCGUAGGUGGCGAGCAGCGCCUGCGCCUC